rnacentral:lncRNA from 1 species
CCUCGCCUCAACUAACAACAUAGUCUUCCUCUUCCACCACCAGGAAAAUAGACACCAGCAUCGAGAAACUGCUAUCUAGGCAGUAGUGGAGCAGAACUAGUAGAACUUAAGGUGGGCCCAUGAUGCCACCACCAUCAGGAAGACCCUCACAAUUGCCUUGUCAUAGUACAACAUCACCAACCCCUUUAUCUCCACAAACACCGCUGUCAUAAAUCCACACACUUAAUCUACU